UCUGUUUGAACCUGGAUGCUAUCUCUUUACCAUACCUGUUUUGCAAGGUUUCAAACAGAAAGGCUGUGAAUGACUAUUGCUUCUCCUUUUAAUACUGACAUUUUCCACAACACUUUACCUCAACCCAAAACACUACUCUCUGAAGUUAGCAGCCACAGACACAGUAGUGUAGGUGACAGAAGCUGGAAGCUUUUCCAUGGCUCUCAAACAGAGCCAUCAGUGUAUUCACUUCUUCCUCCUAUGUACGUAGGGCUGGUCUAACUAACGCACUGACGGCCUUCUGUAGUUCUGCAGGAAAAAUGCUAAAUAGGAACUGCUCAGAGAACUCUAGAUGUGUAAAGAGUUUUUAUCCAUUUCUUAUUUUGACAUUUCUCAUCUUCCAUUAACUGAUGAAAUCUCAGGAUAGCUGUCAGGCUCUUACAUAUAUACUGCUUACCUUUUCUGAUAAAUUCACUAAGACACAUGUAGCAUUUUGGAUCUCUUUAUACACAGAACAUCACAAUAAAAUCCAACAAAGUUACCUGAUCACCCAAGGGAGUUGUGUAAUCUUAUACGGCAGUUUAUUUACCCCAGAAGCAAGUAUGUUAUUAAUAAUAAGGUCAAAGAAUUCUUUUCUUCCUUCAAAGCCGAUGACGCAGCAGAAUUUUAUUUUGUGUCCUCAACGCAGGCCAAAAAAAGAAAACUGUUUCUGGGAGCUUCCUCUCAUUUUACACAACAUGAGUCUGUUAAAAAUAAAUUAUUUGAGUGUUCUUUUAAUGUACAUUUUAUUGGAAUAA
rnacentral:lncRNA from 1 species